AUUGAACGCUGGCGGCAGGCCUAACACAUGCAAGUCGAGCGGAUGAAGGGAGCUUUCUCCUGGAUUCAGCGGCGGACGGGUGAGUAAUUCCUAGGAAUCUGCCUGGUAUUUGGGGAUAACGUCCGGAAACGGGCGCUAAUACCGCAUACGUCCUUAGGGAGAAAGUGGGGGAUCUUCGGACCUCACGCUAUCAGAUGAGCCUAGGUCGUAUUAGCUAGUUGGUGGGGUAAAGGCCUACCAAGGCGACGAUCCGUAACUGGUCUGAGAGGAUGAUCAGUCACACUGGAACUGAGACACGGUCCAGACUCCUACGGGAGGCAGCAGUGGGGAAUAUUGGGCAAUGGGCGAAAGCCUGACCCAGCAACGCCGCGUGUGUGAAGAAGGUCUUCGGAUCGUAAAGCACUUUAAUUUGGGAGGAAGAAAAGUAAGUUAAUCUAUUGACGUCUUGACGUUACCAAAACAGUAAGCCACGGCUAACUUCGUG
rnacentral:rRNA from 1 species